rnacentral:rRNA from 1 species
UACGUAGGGUGCGAGCGUUGUCCGGAAUUAUUGGGCGUAAAGAGCUCGUAGGCGGUCUGUCGCGUCUGCUGUGGAAUCCCGAGGCUCAACCUCGGGCUUGCAGUGGGUACGGGCAGGCUAGAGUGCGGUAGGGGAGAAUGGAACUCCUGGUGUAGCGGUGGAAUGCGCAGAUAUCAGGAAGAACACCGAUGGCGAAGGCAGUUCUCUGGGCCGUAACUGACGCUGAGGAGCGAAAGCGUGGGGAGCGAACAGG